rnacentral:rRNA from 1 species
AUUGAACGCUGGCGGCAGGCCUAACACAUGCAAGUCGAGCGAACCUAGCUUGCUAGGUGAGCGGCGAACGGGUGAGUAACGCGUAGGAAUCUGCCUGGUAGUGGGGGACAACGUUCCGAAAGGAACGCUAAUACCGCAUACGCCCUACGGGGGAAAGCAGGGGAUCUUCGGACCUUGCGCUAUCAGAUGAGCCUGCGUCGGAUUAGCUAGUUGGUGGGGUAAAGGCCUACCAAGGCGACGAUCCGUAACUGGUCUGAGAGGAUGAUCAGUCACACCGGAACUGAGACACGGUCCGGACUCCUACGGGAGGCAGCAGUGGGGAAUAUUGGACAAUGGGGGCAACCCUGAUCCAGCCAUGCCGCGUGUGUGAAGAAGGCCUUCGGGUUGUAAAGCACUUUAGGUCGGGAGGAAGGUUCGCUGGCUAAUAUCCAGCGGAAUUGACGUUACCGACAGAAUAAGCACCGGCUAACUCCGUGCCAGCAGCCGCGGUAAUACGGAGGGUGCGAGCGUUAAUCGGAAUUACUGGGCGUAAAGCGCGCGUAGGCGGCUUGAUAAAUCGGGUGUGAAAUCCCUGGGCUUAACCUGGGAACUGCAUCCGACACUGUCAGGCUAGAGUGUGGGAGAGGGUGACGGAAUUCCCGGUGUAGCGGUGAAAUGCGUAGAUAUCGGGAGGAACAUCAGUGGCGAAGGCGGUUGCCUGGCCCAACACUGACGCUGAGGUGCGAAAGCGUGGGUAGCAAACAGGAUUAGAUACCCUGGUAGUCCACGCCGUAAACGAUGUCGACUAGCCGUUGGGAACCUUAGAGUUUCUUGUGGCGCAGCUAACGCGAUAAGUCGACCGCCUGGGGAGUACGGCCGCAAGGUUAAAACUCAAAUGAAUUGACGGGGGCCCGCACAAGCGGUGGAGCAUGUGGUUUAAUUCGAUGCAACGCGAAGAACCUUACCACCCCUUGACAUCCUGCGAACUUUCUAGAGAUAGAUUGGUGCCUUCGGGAACGCAGAGACAGGUGCUGCAUGGCUGUCGUCAGCUCGUGUUGUGAAAUGUUGGGUUAAGUCCCGUAACGAGCGCAACCCUUGUCCUUAGUUGCCAGCGAGUAAUGUCGGGAACUCUAAGGAGACUGCCGGUGACAAACCGGAGGAAGGUGGGGACGACGUCAAGUCAUCAUGGCCCUUACGGGGUGGGCUACACACGUGCUACAAUGGCCGGUACAGACGGUUGCAAACCCGCGAGGGGGAGCCAAUCCGAGAAAACCGGUCGUAGUCCGGAUUGCAGUCUGCAACUCGACUGCAUGAAGUCGGAAUCGCUAGUAAUCGCGGAUCAGAAUGCCGCGGUGAAUACGUUCCCGGGCCUUGUACACACCGCCC